rnacentral:rRNA from 1 species
GGUAGUGACAAUAAAUCACAAUGCGGAACAAUGUUUUGCAAUUGGAUUGAGAACAACGUACAAACCUUAUCGAUAAACAAUUGGAGGGCAAGUCUGGUGCCAGCAGCCGCGGUAAUUCCAGCUCCAAUAGCGUAUAUUAACGUUGUUGCAGUUAAAAAGCUCGUAGUUGAAAUGAAGGGUAGUUGUGUAAUGAAUACAUUCGUGUAUUUUGUUAUUCUACUACCCUCCUUCUAAAUUCGAUAUAUGAGUAUUAAUUUACUUGUAUAUGGUUUUAGACCUUUACUGUGAGAAAAUUAGAGUGUUCAAAGCAGGCAUUUGCUUGAAUAUAUUAGCAUGGAAUAAUCAUGUAUGAUUUUCAUGAUGUAUUUGAUUGGUUUGGUUCAUGAGAAUAAGAUUAAAAGGGACAGUUGGGGGUAUUCAUAUUCAAUAGUCAGAGGUGAAAUUCUCGGAUUUAUGGAAGAUGAACAAGUGCGAAAGCAUUUACCAAGGAUGUUUU